rnacentral:rRNA from 1 species
UACAGAGACCUCAAGCGUUAUCCGGAAUCAUUGGGCGUAAAGCGUACCGAUAGGUGGUUUAGAAAGUCAGAAGUGAAAUCUCUCAGCUUAACUGGGAGACUGUCUUUUGAAACUUCUAAACUAGAGGGGCAAAGAGGAAGCUGGAACGAACGGUGUAGUAGUGAAAUGCGUUGAUAUCGUUCGGAACACCAAUAGCGUAGGCAGGCUUCUGGGUGCCACCUGACGCUGCUAGGACGAAAGCGUGGGGAGCGAAUGGG